AUGCUGUUGCCAUGACAACAUAUUUUUAACACAAAAGUAGCAAUUUGUAAUGUUCAGGAGAACAUUGUCAAUGUGACCAAUAAAUUUCGUUUUCAUGUCAAGUAAAGUAAAGAAACAGGAGUCUCCUGAAUACUACAGUUUAGUAAAUUAAAAAACCCUAGGGAGCCACCUUAAGUAUAAUGAGAAUAUGAAACGCACUCACCGGUUUAAAGUCGAACAGAUCUGAUGUGGAUAGAAAGUAGCCGUUUCCCAGGUUCUGAACGUCGGGACUUGGAAGCUUCGAUAUAUCCGAGAAAAAGAUAGCGCGGCCAUACUCGUGUACGAAAAAUUUUCCUUUUAUGUUGUCUCGAAGACCGUUGAAACCAGAGUGAACUGAGAUAAAAUUUGGCUAGCUUUUGCUGAUAACUGAAGAAUGUCGGCUUAGCAAAAUGGGAUUAUAUUGGCAGUUUGAUAUUGACGCUUGGCAGAUAUUGCCUGGAGAGCAACGCGGUUGUUUUCCCUGGUUAUCGUUACCGUUUAGGUUACAUAGUUUUAGGUAUGGAUGUUGCCUCUUAUUAAUCCCAAUUUAUUUUUUAAAUAAAUUGCUCCAUAAUUAUCUCUGCACAAUUAUAAAUUUUGAAUCAUGUGAACAACUGAUCAUGUGAUGUGAUGUGAAUUGUGAAACCACACUUCAUGCACAUUUUCGUCGAUUCUUGGCCGAAUAUUUUACAUGUACAUAAUCGAGCGCUUUUAGAAGACCUUAGAAGGUAGGUAAAGCUUUGCUGUUUUUAAUUUACCUUAUAUUCUGUUAUCUGUUGUGAAUUUGGAGUCUUUGUGCUCGCACUGAUUA